AAACUUAUAGGAGCUCCCUAAAACCUGAAAUGGAAGAGGCAUUAAUUUGCACCCAGAAUUGGUUAAAGCCGUCUUUUACCUAUUUCAAAGACUUGAACCUCAUGGAAGAUUUUGAGCUUUCUGAAGAUAUUAUAGCAGAAUUUGAAGAAAUUUCUUCUACAGCAAGAAGAGGAUCUUUACCGUCUCAGCCACAACCUUCUGGUUGUGCUUGAAAAAUAUGGAGUUCAACUAUGUUUUUUGAAGUCAUAUGUGACUUAUAUUUUGUGACUACUCAAUGGUCAAAUAAUAUAUAUUUUGUCCCGUGGAUUUUGAAGAUAUUCAAGCUAGCCAAAUUUUGGUAUGCAUCAAACAAUAUAUUAUUGUAUUAAUUAUCUAUGUGGUUUUUUAGUUGGAUUUACUACUAAUUAAUUAUGAAUUGAAGUUGGUAAUGUCAUGGUCGGUUGUCCAUUAGUUAUAUGAAGUAUUGCUAAUUGUGUCAAUAGAACAUUUUGAGGCCAUGCAGGAACAAUUUGGAGCUAAGACAUUUUUGAUAUAUGUAGAACCUGUGUUUAGCAAAACAGGAGAAACAAUUGGAGUAAACUAUAUGGGAAUGGAAAUAACAGAUCAGGUGAGAAAAAGAGAAAGAAUGGCUAAGCUAAGGGAAGAAAUUGCAGUUCAGAAAGCUAAGGAAACAGAACUUAAUAAAACCAUUCACAUUACAGG